rnacentral:rRNA from 1 species
AGUAAGGGACGGGGGCUGGAACCUCUCGGGGUUACAGCCUUGCUGAAUUAUUCACCCUUGUCUUUUGCGUACUUCUUGUUUCCUUGGUGGGUUCGCCCACCACUAGGACAAACAUAAACCUUUUGUAAUUGCAAUCAGCGUCAGUAACAAAUUAAUAAUUACAACUUUCAACAACGGAUCUCUUGGUUCUGGCAUCGAUGAAGAACGCAGCGAAAUGCGAUAAGUAGUGUGAAUUGCAGAAUUCAGUGAAUCAUCGAAUCUUUGAACGCACAUUGCGCCCUUUGGUAUUCCAAAGGGCAUGCCUGUUCGAGCGUCAUUUGUACCCUCAAGCUUUGCUUGGUGUUGGGCGUCUUGUCUCUAGCUUUGCUGGAGACUCGCCUUAAAGUAAUUGGCAGCCGGCCUACUGGUUUCGGAGCGCAGCACAAGUCGCACUCUCUAUCAGCAAAGGUCUAGCAUCCAUUAAGCCUUUUUUUCAACUUUUGACCUCGGAUCAGGUAGGGAUACCCGCUGAACUUAAGCAUAUCAAUAAGCGGAAGAA